UUUUUGUCCCGCGAAAGGGAUAGAAGCGGCAUCCUUUUGUGAAGCGAAAGCGGAACAAAAGAUAGAGCGAAUAGCCCGACCAAAG
rfam:Flavobacteria bacterium GWA2_35_26 gwa2_scaffold_4, whole genome shotgun sequence.